rnacentral:lncRNA from 1 species
CCCUCCCGCGGGCACAGCCACUCGCCCGGUCCGGUCUCCGCCUGCCAGCCCGGCUCGGUCACUCACCAUCGCGCUGUGCUGCCGCGGUGGCGGUGGCUGCCCCGUCUGCCGCUGCUGCUCCGCACAGGCUGCCCGGGGAUCCGGGAGGCGGGGACGGGGCUGGUUUCCUCCCCCUCGGUAGCCUCCGAAGUCCGCCAAGCGGGGAAUGAGAGACCCAAGUUCAGCGGCGCAGAGGGGAGGCCAGCGCGGAGCCCAUGCGGGCGGGCGGGUGUCAGCGCCUCACAGGCUGGAGGCUCCUCUCAUGCUCUGACGGGGACUCGGCUCCUCAGCGGAGUGUGUGCCCGGCUCGGGAGUGGGAGCGAGAGCCCCCCGCCGCCGCUCCGCCUGUGCAGCCGAUGCCCAGCACCAGCCACUCUGUCCAUAAAUGGAGAAUUCAGCUCGGACCUAGCCAAUCACGAUGCUACUUUGGUUGUGUGAAAGCUGCUUGGUGAUUGAGUAAUAUUAGCUGUACACUGUAGUAAAAAAUAUUAGAUUACCAUUGGCUACUACUAGUGCUUCACCCAUCUCAAAAAGACACAAACUUGUUUGAGAGCCAGGUCCAUCAACACAGACAUCCCAUUCCUCUACUGGCUGAAGUGUGUCUUUGUCAGGAAGAUACAGGUGCAGAGUUAGUUAAUCCAGCAGAAUUGAAAAGAGAACAUGCUGGAUCUGGCUAUCAAACUCUAGCAGAAAAUAUAAGACAUUUCCAUAAAGUGAAAGCACUUCCUAUAUUCAUAAACGUAUGCAUAUUAGAUGAUGGUGAUGGUAUUGAAAAGAGUUUGAACAAGAACAAUGGACAGCACAAAUCUUGCUACAUCAAGUUUAACAGGACCAAACUUAAAGGGACUGAGGAGAAAAAAAAAGAACUGAGUAAGCUGUGGAUCACCUUGAUGAACUGCAGAGGAAAUACACACGUUUAAGUGAUGAACACAAAGGGCCUCCAGAAAAAGAAGUCUGCUUUAUUUGUGAAAUGAGCUUACCAUCAGAAGACCUCCAUGAAGCUUCUACCCUCAGCAUUGAUAGUCGAGUCCACAAGAGUGC